rnacentral:rRNA from 1 species
UGGGUUUGACAUGAUCGUAGUAGUGAACCGAAAGGGGAACGAGCUUAGGCAGCGACCACAGGUGUUGCAUGGCUGUCGUCAGCUCGUGUCGUGAGAUGUUGGGUUAAGUCCCGCAACGAGCGCAACCCUUGUUGCCAGUUAUAUGUGUCUGGCGAGACUGCCGGUAUCAAGCCGGAGGAAGGUGAGGAUGACGUCAAGUCAGCAUGACCUUUAUAUCCAGGGCUACACACACGCUACAAUGGUCGGUACAAUGAGUUGCCAAGUCGUGAGGCGGAGCUAAUCUCAUCAAAACCGGCCUCAGUUCGGAUUGGAGGCUGCAACCCGCCUCCAUGAAGUCGGAGUUGCUAGUAAACGCCGGUCAGCUAUACGGCGUUGAAUACGUUCCCGGGCCU